GUCAAGGUGCAUGCUAGCUGUCCGGACACCACCGUUAUUAAAAAAAGGCUCUAUGGCAGAUGAACUUUUGACACUCUGCACCUUCCCACCUAAACUUAUUUUGCAAGCAUUUAACUUUCAAACUCACAAAAUGAUGCAUCUGUGGCCUUUUCACAAGCUUUUCCUUGCUUCACCAACAAAAAUGUCUUGCAGAAGUGCAGAACCUCAUCACGAAGUGUUGGAAUUUUAGUGGUUCUCUUGGGAAGAGGUUGCUGGUAGUGUUGUGAUUGCACUAGCAGAG
rnacentral:misc_RNA from 1 species